rnacentral:rRNA from 1 species
GACGAACCGUGCGAACGUUGUUCGGAAUCACUGGGCUUAAAGGGCGCGUAGGCGGACCGCAAAGUCAGUGGUGAAAUCCCCCGGCUCAACCGGGGAACUGCCUUUGAUACUGGCGGUCUGGAGUAGGGUAGGGGCAUGCGGAACUGAUGGUGGAGCGGUGAAAUGUGUUGAUAUCAUCAGGAACUCCGGUGGCGAAAGCGGCGUGCUGGACCCUUACUGACGCUGAGGCGCGAAAGCCAGGGGAGCAAACGGG